GACGAACGCUGGCGGCGUGCCUAAUACAUGCAAGUAGAACGCUGAAGAGAGGAGCUUGCUCUUCUUGGAUGAGUUGCGAACGGGUGAGUAACGCGUAGGUAACCUGCCUGGUAGCGGGGGAUAACUAUUGGAAACGAUAGCUAAUACCGCAUAAAAUGGAUUAUCGCAUGAUAAUCCAUUGAAAGGUGCAAAUGCAUCACUACCAGAUGGACCUGCGUUGUAUUAGCUAGUUGGUGGGGUAACGGCUCACCAAGGCGACGAUACAUAGCCGACCUGAGAGGGUGAUCGGCCACACUGGGACUGAGACACGGCCCAGACUCCUACGGGAGGCAGCAGUAGGGAAUCUUCGGCAAUGGACGGAAGUCUGACCGAGCAACGCCGCGUGAGUGAAGAAGGUUUUCGGAUCGUAAAGCUCUGUUGUAAGAGAAGAACGAGUGUGAGAGUGGAAAGUUCACGCUGUGACGGUAUCUUACCAGAAAGGGACGGCUAACUACGUGCCAGCAGCCGCGGUAAUACGUAGGUCCCGAGCGUUGUCCGGAUUUAUUGGGCGUAAAGCGAGCGCAGGCGGUUAGAUAAGUCUGAAGUUAAAGGCUGUGGCUUAACCAUAGUACGCUUUGGAAACUGUUUAACUUGAGUGCAAGAGGGGAGAGUGGAAUUCCAUGUGUAGCGGUGAAAUGCGUAGAUAUAUGGAGGAACACCGGUGGCGAAAGCGGCUCUCUGGCUUGUAACUGACGCUGAGGCUCGAAAGCGUGGGGAGCAAACAGG
rnacentral:rRNA from 1 species